GACUUUAAAGCUGCACAUCUGGAAGGAGUUCAGGAUAAACUCAAGAAUCUGCAACUUUCUGAAGCUGGGAAGAGGGGAAUCAGGAUUGGAAAGAAGCAAGCAUGCUCCUCGCAAGUAAGUAAAUUACAAGCAGUAGGUAAACUACUUUCAGAGAGGCCUGUUAGAGCCGAACUUGUGGGUAGAACUGGGGGGGGGGUCUGGAGCCCCUUUUUUGGCGUGGAAGGUAAAGAUCUUGGUAGGAAUCGAUUUCUCUUUACAUUCUACCAAAAGACUGACAAAAACAAGGCACUGGAUGCUAGACCCUGGAGUUUUAAUAAUGACCUGUUGGUUAUGGAAGAUUUUGUGCCAAGCAAAACCAUAGAUGAGUAUGAAUUCAAGACAACACCCAUCUGGAUUAGAGCUUAUGGCAUUCCAAUGGGGAUGAUAAACAAAGAAACAUGGGAGGCAGUAGGUGAACAAGUUGGAGAAGUAAUUGAUGUGGAUUUGGAUGUUCAUGGUGAUUCAUUAGGAGUUUUCAUGCGAAUUAAAGUGAGAAUGGAUAUCACAGUCCCAAUUAUGAGGUUUAUAACAAUUUAUAUAUAA
rnacentral:rRNA from 1 species